rnacentral:misc_RNA from 1 species
AAAAUCUUGGAGCAGUGCUGACGGUUUAAAAGGUGUACAAACGAACAAAUUAUUGUGACAAACUAAUGUGUUAAAAUUCUAGGAAUAUCCACACGUCAAUUUUUAACUUUAACUUAAAUAUACAGUUCCAUUGGGAGAUGGACAACAUUUCCACAGCAUAAGAUCAGAAUAUUAUUUGUGUCUUUCACAAGAUUUUAUCUGGAGAAGAACUGGAUGUUGAGAGUUCUGUAUACAUGUCAGCUAUUUCUUUAGCAAAGUAUGUUCUUGCUUGUGGCCUUUUUAUCUUGUAAGUUGGAGUAAGCAGAUUAUUCUCCAAAGUAAAAGGCUCAAGCACCA